rnacentral:rRNA from 1 species
UGGGGAAUAUUGGACAAUGGGCGAAAGCCUGAUCCAGCAAUGCCGCGUGAGUGAUGAAGGCCUUAGGGUUGUAAAGCUCUUUUACCCGGGAUGAUAAUGACAGUACCGGGAGAAUAAGCUCCGGCUAACUCCGUGCCAGCAGCCGCGGUAAUACGGAGGGAGCUAGCGUUGUUCGGAAUUACUGGGCGUAAAGCGCACGUAGGCGGCUUUGUAAGUCAGAGGUGAAAGCCUGGAGCUCAACUCCAGAACUGCCUUUGAGACUGCAUCGCUUGAAUCCAGGAGAGGUGAGUGGAAUUCCGAGUGUAGAGGUGAAAUUCGUAGAUAUUCGGAAGAACACCAGUGGCGAAGGCGGCUCACUGGACUGGUAUUGACGCUGAUGUGCGAAAGCGUGGGGAUCAAACA